GUGCACGCUGGCGGUAGGCCUAACACAUGCAAGUCGAACGGCAGCACCGUAAGAGCUUGCUCUUACGGGUGGCGAGUGGCGGACGGGUGAGGAAUACAUCGGAAUCUACUUUUUCGUGGGGGAUAACGUAGGGAAACUUACGCUAAUACCGCAUACGACCUACGGGUGAAAGCAGGGGAUCUUCGGACCUUGCGCGAUUGAAUGAGCCGAUGUCGGAUUAGCUAGUUGGCGGGGUAAAGGCCCACCAAGGCGACGAUCCGUAGCUGGUCUGAGAGGAUGAUCAGCCACACUGGAACUGAGACACGGUCCAGACUCCUACGGGAGGCAGCAGUGGGGAAUAUUGGACAAUGGGCGCAAGCCUGAUCCAGCCAUACCGCGUGGGUGAAGAAGGCCUUCGGGUUGUAAAGCCCUUUUGUUGGGAAAGAAAAGCAGCAGGUUAAUACCCCGCUGUUCUGACGGUACCCAAAGAAUAAGCACCGGCUAACUUCGUG
rnacentral:rRNA from 1 species